UACUGCUCAUGCCAGAAAUGCACCCUUCUGAAACUGACUCCUGUCCUGGGAAAAAGAUAUUACUGCUCAACUCUUUAUUUGGAGUAUUUAGUAAAUACAUCUACUGACCAGCCUUAGCUUUCCAAGCACGACAGAUGUUCAGACAAUAUACUAUAUAGCAGUGAAGCUUAAACUACUAUGGGAAGGAAGAGAGUGCUGGAACCGGAUGAACACUGUAAGUGAAGAGUGACUAGCCAUUGAGGUCUACAUCCUGCAUCAGCAACCAGUCCACAAUGCCACCAUAUCUCUACAAUGAUGGAACAGCAUUAAAAGUUGUGACGCUGUGGUGGCUGCUAGCAAAUCAACUACUAUACUCCAUCCCAAGUAUUACUCUGCAGAUGCACUCAGUCCUCAGAUAAGACCAUCAGCAGUUUUUGAAAUAUUGUUAUUUGCUCUUUAUGGAGACAGUUCAAUUCCAAUAAAGUAUGAAUUACAAA